rnacentral:rRNA from 1 species
AUGCCCUUUCCACCUAAGUCAACUAAAAAGAAAGAUGAUGAAGAAUUUGAACGCUUUGCUGAAAUGAUUAGGACGGUCUUUUUGCGAACUCGCUUGACUAAUAUCUUGAAAAUGCCUCCUUAUGCAAAGUUUAUGAAAUACAUCAUCACUAAUAAGAGAAAAAUACCGAAAGCUGAAAUCUCCACUAUGCUUGCUAAUUACACUUUUAAAGAUGCAGUACCUAAAAAACUUGGAGAUCCAGGAAUACCAACUAUACCUUGCUCCAUUAAAAGGAAUUAUGUGAAAACUGCUUUGUGUGAUUUGGGAGCCGGUGUUAGUGUUAUGCCUUUCUUGCUAUAUAAAAGACUUGAUUUGAAUAAACUCACACCUACUGAAAUAUCUUUGUAA